rnacentral:lncRNA from 1 species
UGCUAUUUCCAGUGCAUUGAUUUUCUAUGUAAGCUCUCAGCUGCUGCUCCAGUCACCAUUUCUACCCCCACUCUGCCCUCAUAGACUCUAACUCUCUGGAAAUGUAAGCCCAAAACAAACUCUUUCUUCUAUAAACGGCCUUGGUCAAGGUGCUUUAUCACAGAAGCAGAAUGAUAACUAAAGCAUCAGUCUUGGGACCAUGCAGAAGACAAAAAAUACCACAAAGAAACCUUUGUAAGCCCACUAUACUUUCAGCUCUCCUUUUGCUUUUGCUGAUCUUUCCAGACUCAGGGAGGAGAGAUUUGGGGAGGAUAGAAGAUGCUGCACACCUUUAAUUGGUAGACAAAUUGAAAAAGAAGAUUCUGAUCCUAUGUCCACCGGAAUCUCUUCAUUUGUGAAUUCCUGAAGUCCUGGCGUAUAAUGAAAAUGACAGAGAGAAAUCAAAUGUCAGAAUUCUAAAUGAGAUUUUAGAAAUUAUCUGAUGCAGCCCUCUGUUUUUCAGAUGUUGGAAUACACGUGUUCAUAUGUUUGCUCCAUCAUACAUUCAUUCAUUCACCUAAUAUUUGUUCACCUUCAUUAUUAUGUCAGUGUUUGCCAAACUACCAGACUGAACCUACAUAGGACAGGGAAUGUGGCAGUUAUGGGUCUGGCCCUUCCUUUGUUUGCUUCUUUGUUUCGUGUGUGUGUGUGUGUGUGUGUGUGUGUGUGUGUGUGUGUGUGUGUGUGUGUGUGUGUGUAAACUUGACAUAAACUAGAGUUGCAAGGAGGGAAUUACAGUUGAGAAAAUGAAUCCAUAAGAUUAGGGAAAGGAAGCCUGUGGGGCAUUUUCUUAAUAGGUGACUUAUACGGGAGACUCCAAUACAGUGAAGGUGGUGCUACCCCUGAGCUUAUGGUCUGUGUGUAUAAGAAAGCAGGCUGAUGCACUGCUACUCAAGCAUCCAGGGCCAGGCUGCUGCCAGGAGCUAUGUCUCUUUCUGCAGUCCUAUGGCAGCCUAUAGCAAACUCUAUGAUGUCCCAGACCUGUUACCACCAAAGGCAAUGCGGAUGCCCCUGGUCUGGUCUGCCACCUAAGGCUCGGUGUUGAGCUGGCCUCACCCCUACCUAGGCAACAUAGUAGAGUUGCCGCCUGUGGGAGCUGGGAGAGCAGGCUCUGCCCUUGGCCCUUGCUUCCUUUGGGAAGUGGGAGAGCAGGCCCCACACCUCACCUGGGCUGCACAGUAGAGCUGACCCUGGUGGCAUGGGUGCUGGUGAGACAUGACAUUAGGAGAAGUGGCCCCUGCUCCUUGCCAGUUGUUGUAGCAGAUGAGCUAGCUGGGGCAGUGCUGGAGAGCUUGCCCUAGUGGUGUGAGCCCAGGAUAACUGAUGGGCUGACCAACUCAGGUACCUCCCAUGCCCAGAUCCAAGGCUUUGAGUUGGC